rnacentral:lncRNA from 1 species
GUGACCUUCCCAGCAGCCUUUGCUGGCUCUCCCCCAGCGAAACAAAGAGCGCAGGAGCUUUCAAACGGCUGCAGCCUCACGCCGAGUUGGGUACCGGAGAGGGGCCGGCGGGGGCCUCGCUAGUGGAGCCCAGCCAGGCUGGCAGCGGCUCAACGUGGUCUGGCUCGUUCCGGCUCCCCCUACGUAGACACAGGGGUCGGACUCGUGGCUGAAGACAGCUAGCUGAGCCCAAGAGAGUUGAUCCACAGUUUGGUAUGUGAGACAUAUGCCAACCCUCCAGCUGGGACACUAGCAAGUUGGAUUUAGCCUACCACUUACCCCCUCAGCGUGACCGGCCCAGGACGUGUGGGCUGCCGCUCUCAUUCCAACAGGCUGGAGGUUGAAUCUCUUUCCACUUUGACAAGGGAGACGCUCCUUUGCUGUGCCAUUUCCUUCCUGUUCCUCUCCCACAAAGAGCUGCAAACCUGAAAAGAGUGGAUCCUUCUAUGUCUCUGAUGACCAGGACAGCAUCCCGCAGCCACUUUCGGUCUGGAGCUGUGGUGACUCCAGAAAGGGCCAUGGCUACUAUAGGCAUCCCUGGGACACAAAACUAGCAGAGGCUUAACCUCUUCACUUGCACGGCAUGCCCUCUUGUGCCACGGGUACUACCUCUGUUACUACCCACCAAGUGCCUUGUCUCCUUAACUGGCUUCUGGGACAGGAGUAAUGUCACUAGGGUUCUUGUGGGAGAAACAUGGCCCAGCUGGCUGCGCUAGCAGGAGUCCCGACUAAGGAUGUAGCUACAGAACACUAGCACAAAAAAGCAGAUCGGGAGGGGCUUUGAUCCAUGCCCCUUGUCCUGCCGAGUGAGCGAUGGGCCGCUUGGAUGACCAUGCCAAGAAGCGGAUAGUGGAGCUGCGCAAAGCCGGGCUGAGUUUCCGCAAAAUCAAGAAAGUCCUAGAGCUGGACAAUAUCCGGGUGACCCCGCAAGCUGUCUACCUGUUCCUCAAGCGUAAGAAUGUGGAGCUGGCACAGUCUCCAGGAGCCUCCCAUUUCCAACCAGCUGGAGGCCGGGGGAGCAGGAGAAUGGCCAUCAACCGGGCUGGCUGGGAGGAUGAGCAGCUCUGGAACUUGCUGCAGGAAAAUGAGGCUGAUCAGAACAAGCAGGCAGAGCCCAAAGGCAGCAGGCAGCCAGGUCCCAGGACCCCAGCACUCCCCGGAAGAGCCACCGUGAGCUGCAAGGAGCCAUACCUCAAUGACAACCAAGACUGCAAGGAUGGCAUCAAAAUAGUCAGCGUGACAUCACUGUGGAAGGAUAGUGGGCAGUUUGGGAAGGUGCCUACAGUGCCCAUGGGCCCAUCUCCAGCAGCACAGCUAUCCGCUAUUAACAGUGACGACUGCUCUGGAACUCUGACCUCAGCUGUGGGUAACCACCCGGCUCUGCUCCCACCAGCCAUGGCGCAGCAGCAGCUGAACACCAGGGGCAGGAUGUUCUUGUCGCCUGCCAGGAAUCCAGCCUUAAUUGUGAAGAAGAAGAUUGUGGACAGGGCCAUCCACCUCCAGAAAAAGGUCAAAGAUGCCAGCACCCAAACAGCCUUGCUUAACUCUGCAUGUUCUUCAGGCAAUCAGAACCCUGUGUUGGGUGGGCAGAUGCUGGCCCCCUCACCUACUUCCUAUGCCAUUGCCGAGAAGCUGGAUGUUGUACACAAACAGGUGCAGAAACUGACACAUGCAAUGCACGCGGUGCUAGAGAGACAGUGCCGCAUGGAGCGCCAGCAGGAGCAGCAGCAGCGUUUCCAGCAAGAGGUGCUGAUGGCACUUCGGCAGCUCAGCUCCACCGUGAGCCAUGGGACAAUGCCAGGAAACGAGCCCUGUGUCCCCUUCAGCAGCAUGGCUGAUCCCUCACCCCCUGUGCCAAACUUCAGCCAGUUCAGGAUGGAGCUAAUCUGAUGAAAGGCUGAUACCAACAUUCAUCGGCCUGGGCAUAAGAGUGGCCUGGAGCUAGCUCUGGACAAAGCAGCUGGCAUGGGCCACCCUAGCUGAAAUAUAAAGGGAUCUCAAACAGGCAGCUGCAGCUGAGUGAAGAGAAGCAGGCAUUAGGACUUCAAAAACUGCAGCUCUAAGAGCCUGGCUAAGGCCCUGCUACUGCAAUAACAGAAGACUGGGAGGAGGAAGGCCCCAAUAACACCAAGACUCAGUCUGCUUUGGCCUAGUUAAUCCAGCCCUGCUGCCCCCAGGAAGAGGCAUGUACCAAUGGGAAGCUGAAACAUGCCAAAGGAAAGCCUUAAUUCUAGCCACUGCAUACAGCAAAUGAAAUACUGGUUUAGCCCCCAAGGCCCAGGCCUAAAGGAUAUGGAACGCCAGCAGCUUAGAGAAGCUGUCUACAGCCAAGCACCAUGCUACGUUAGAAGGAAAACAUGGCGGCAGGCAUCACUCUCUCCUUGGCAGGGCAAGCAUUUAAUGUUUACACAGGGAAGGGAGCGUGAGCAUUAGAAUGUCCAGGAGCUUGGGUUUUGGAUGUUUUGUGCCCCUUCUUUCAGAGUUGUAUAUGGAGAGUAAAAUAAUCUCAGUAAAGUCUAUACACCCACUGCUCUAGAAACAGACUGGACUCUAUGUGGCAUGCUGGUUGUUUUUCAUACACCAACCUCCCUAUAAGAGUAUGCCUCCACGGUAAUGAGAGACCUAUCUACAGCUAAAGUUCUGGAACAGUGAAGCCAGGGCAGUGCAUGCUGCAGGGUAGGCUAGCUGCAGGGAUAAUGAGCCAGUGUUCCAGGCAAGCUUGUACCCCUACACCAGCUGCACUCAUGCUCCAGGAUUGAUGGAGGGUGGAGGAUUCUCCUGCAAUGACCAAAAUUUAUGGAAUAAGGAGCAGGGGUAGGAACUGCUCGUUUCAUUGCACUUCAGGCCAAGUGCUAGUAAGACCUCUCUCUGCCCCAGAGAAACCAAGGAUAGCUGUCGCAGCUGACCACAGCUUAAACAGCCCCAUUCUUCCAUUGCUGCAUUUGGAUUGCUGUACAAUAAAAAACAUCUGAAU